rnacentral:lncRNA from 1 species
AGCCUUUCAUUUCAGCCUUUACUGGGCCCAGCAAAACAUGUGAUAAAGUUAGAGGUAAACCAGGAACCUGGGUGCCAAAGCCUUACAAGUUGAUAGGUAUGGUAUUGGCCACCUUGAGGCUUGUGGCUGGUACACUGGCCAUCACAAGGCAGAGAAAUCUCCCAAAACCCAAAUCCCAAGGACUGGGGACUUCGGGGAGGUAUAAAGUACUGCUGCUUUGACAUCAGCGGGUUUGCCUCCAGAGGUGUUUGCUGGCUCCUCACAGCCCUGGUUCUACUGUUAACCAAGGUAUGACUUUGUCCUGUGCAGGCAUGCCUGUGGUCCUGUCACAAGAGGUGGAGUCUGUCCUCGUGGGAGCUGCUAUUCUGGGUGCCUGUGCCUCAGGGGACUUCACUUCUGUGCAGGUAUGUUAGGAUCCAUGGGUGGCUGUGGUCCCUGCCCUGUCUGAGGCUGUCUGUCCUCUUGACAGCAGCUCACAGCUUGCAAAACACAUACAGGAUAUAAUUAGGGAAUGAUAGGUUGCAGCCAGAGAAUCACAGGCACUCGCCGCCUCUGACGUAGUCACUGUGGCCUCCCUUUGGUUUCACCUCUGUUCAUGUGAAUUGUUCUGCUUCUCUCUCUUUAUAGGAGCUCCUACAUUAUUUAGCUUCAGUUUCUGCUUGGCCAUUUUCCUUUGAUCAAGUGAAAGAGUUGAUGCUCAAAAUAUUGGUUUUCCACAUGGGCUUCAGUGUUUUAUUUGUUUAUUUCAUCUGCAUCACUUUCCAAAUACCUUUGAAGCCUGGGCCAACAAGAAACACAAAAGAAAGUGUUGGUGAGGGGAAAAAAAAAAAGAAUUAAAAAUAAAAAGAAGGAACAAAGUUUAGGAAGCCGGAAACAAUUUGGUGGUGGUGAUUUGAGUACACGAUUUUGCUCUGAGCUUCCUGGCAGCC